CUCUGUAUCUUUAUUCAUCUUUUUUCCUUUUCUCAAGGGAGUUUUGUCAGUUUCCUUGAAGCUUUGACUGGUAAGAUGUCCUGUUAGGCUGCCCAUGCUUUAGAUCUAUGACAUUGCUGACUGCGGGUUGUGAGAAUGAGUGCUAUAUGACUGAGAGAUGAGUAAGCAAUCUGCAUGCCAGGCCUUUCUGAUUUGUAGCUGAUUCUGGGAAUAUUUUGGGGCUCGGAGUGCUUGUAAUCUCUAGGAAUAAUGUGAACUUGUUGACUCAGUGGUGACUUUUGUGUGAAGCGAUUGAAACCAUAAUCAUGAAAGAAAAAAGAGACCUUGAUUCCUUGUCCCAGCCCAUUGGUUUCAAAAGCGGCUGGGUUAAUUUGAUAAAGUUCUUGUGAAUGAUUUGAUUUUUUUAAUCAUAGAACUACUCUUUGAAAAUACUAAAGCCCGAAAAGACCCCAUUGGCUAUAGAUUUUCAAUCAUAUCUCAACUGAACAAAUUAUGCCUUCACCUUUGCUGCAUUGUGAAUCAAAUGAUCCAUGAUACUGCAAUUCUUUGAACAUUUGUUCAUAGAUUUUGGGACUAUGGUCAUAUAUUUCAAAGAUUUAAAUUACAAUCUGUAUGUGAGAGGGUUCAAUUAUAUUCUUUUUCACUAAUGGAUGCAUUUUUCUAGUUUUGAAGUACAAGUAAGCAGAUGAUGAUAAUUUAGAGAAUGAGGCUUACAUGAGAGCCAAAUAGGUGAAUAUAAUUCCAUUCCUAAAUUGUUGUUCAUAACUUAUCAGAUAACAAUUGUAAAAGUGGAAGGCUCAAGCAGAAGCCUACAUGAUUGAUUGUUUCUCCUCUAAGCAUGGAUAUUUUGAACUUGAAUAUACAACGCAGAGCUGGAAGCAUGCUAGAGAUAAUGAUUAGCUUUCUUUAUGAAUGUGCACCUUUCCUUUGUUAUAAAGCCUACCAUUCCUUUUAACUUGGUCACAGAGCACUAAGUGCUGUAUUCAUGGAGGUGAUGGAGCUGAAGGUGAAUCUACAUUGCAAGGCAUGUGAAAUGUCAACAAGGUGUUAUCCAAGCUCAAAGGGGUGACUUGUGUAGACAUAGAUGUGGUAUCGAAUAAGGUAAUGGUCAUGGGCUAUGUUGAUCAGAAGGCAGUCAUCAAAGCUGUUAGGAAAACCGGCCGCCAAGCUGAGGUCCGGCCGUCACCACACCGUGAUUCCAAGAUCUUAAAGAUGAGGUCUUCCGACAUUACCUCGAGAUAUGGCUAUCCUGCAUCACCUUCUAGAGUUUCCAUGAAGAUGCAUAGAGCCUCUCCUUCAAGCUUGCCAAAGCCAUCAAAAGAGAAGCAAACACCGAAAGCUCUUUGUAGAAUAAAACACUUGUUAUGCAUGAGACCUCGUACUGUUGAUGAAGAGCCAAUGUAUACGAAGAUGCCAUCUAAGUUAGGGUUUCAACGUGAUAGAACUUCUGAUUUUGGUAGACCAUAGGUUAUAUAUACUUACACAUGUAUACAAAUGUAUGUGUGACUUGUAUGAUGUAUUGUUGUGGCUUGUCUAUUGUUGAUCUGUUGGUUUGAGCAAGUUUGUUGUGAUUCUACUCAGUGUGGAACUGGCGGGAAAAUUUCCUUGUAAAAGUUUAAAAUUACCUUGCAAAACUAUGGAGAUUAAUUUUCUUUAACGUU